rnacentral:lncRNA from 1 species
AUGAGUUUCGUCAAUCUGGGAGAUUCGGACAUACAAUGGUUAAAUAAGGAUUAUAUAAAUGGGGUGAUGCCCGAAGAUAGUGAAUUGACUGGUUUCCACACAGAGUCCAGGUGGUGCUUUCGCAACGGUAAGGCUGUUGCAAAAUUCGCAAAGCGAUUGCAAGGAACCGCAGUCGCUGCCUUUAUUAGUGAUACUAGACUGCAGGUGGAAGCUCGACUUCGUUUUAAUAUCACUGGGGGAACAAAGGAGGACAAUACACUAAUCGUGUUAUUAAUAGGAAGGUUUGCUUCAGGAUCAGCCCAGGUCCAGCAUCUAAUUGCAGGGGUCGGAAAUCCAGCUACCCUAGCCAAUGUGAGGAAAAUGGUUCGACACAGUGGUGGAGAAAUCGCUGUAGUUGUGGAUGACGAGGUAGCGGCUCACUCUGUCACUCAAUUUCCCAUCACCCAUACCACACGAGUGUCCAUGCCGGACUACACUGCUUAUCUCGCAACCGAAGGAAAUCUUUUGCAAUUACAAACGGACAACCAGUUGGACCAGGUUACCAAAAUUUUGUCUACAAUGGUAUCACUGUUUCCAUAUAUCGUUCCAGAUCUCCGUCAGAAAGUAGAUAUUCUGUCCUAUCAAGGUAAUGCCGAGGAUAAGGAGGAAGUGUCAUUACCUCCAGGCCUCGAGGUCUCUACAGACGACCAAGGAGAAGCACUGUCGGCUGUGGGUAUCUUCCUAUUAGGAAUGGCCUACUCUAACGCGACCCGAUUUCCGGAACAAAUCACUAGAAGGAUUCGCGCUAUUGCGGCAACACUGGAAGCGACCCCUCCAGAGAAAAGGGUGGUGGAUCAAACCAUACAAGCCACACAUUGGCUCACGCAGGAUCUACCUACAAUAGUUGAUGAGGUUUUGGGCAUGACAAUCUAUUGGACUAAAGGAGGGUCCUAUGACCCUGAAACGGCUGUGGAUGGGUUGAUGUCCAUGGACGACCUUGCCAGAGCUUACCAGCUUGCUCCAGUGUCAGUGGCUCUGCUGGAUCAAGCUAGACUUGUAUAUAGCCAUUAUCACUCGACUUCUAUCUCAUUUAUUUCUGGAGUGAUGCCUGCUUUGAUUGAGGACGGCCACCAAAAUAGUACCUACUUAGCACCUGACAUCGCAGCUUAUAGCCGCAUUGAAAGUGUGGUGACUGGAGCACCCUACUUGGGUCUUUGCGGCCAACUCCCGGAGGCCUAUCAGAUUCGCUCACUCCCGAGACUGGUGUAUUGUAGUUUGCUAUACUAUCAAGCUUCGUUAGAGACCGAAGAAGAAAGGAGGAAUUUCUCCGAGUACAAGAUUGCAGAAAUCGAGAAGAAGGUAAUCGAGAACAAAGGAGUGGUGAAGGUAAUGGGGGACGAGGAAGAUAAGAUAAUGAGAGGGAAUGGUAAGCAAGCGAUUAUAACUGGUGAUGGGGAGAGAGACGAAUCCAUGCUUGAUUUGGAGAAGACGGUAACUGAUUGUACGCUAGAUGAUAAAUUAGAGAACAAAUUAUUAAAUGGUAGUACGGAGAAUAUGGAGAUUGGCAAUAACAGCGUGGGGACAUGUAGUGAAUGUGGUUUUGAGGUUAAGGAGAACAAGAAGGCAAUUCGUUGUGACGGGGUUAAAUGUCAUUGGGGUCUACACCACAUCAAAUGUAUUGGAAUGGGGGAGACGGAAUUAGAGGUGUUAAAUAAAUAUGUUAGGAACAUAAUGUGGUUCUGUUAUAGGUGUGCAGAGGAGAGUAAAAGGGCAAUGGGGGAUAUGGUGAUGAUGAAUGAUGAAAUGAAAGUCGAGAAGGAAAAGAUGAGAUUUGAAUUGGACAAAGCGUACGAGAAAUUAAGGGUGGCGGAAAUUAAAGGUGAUGAAAUAAGGAAUAAAAUGUUGAAGUUGUGCGCAGAGGCUAGGGAGGGGGAUGCAGUAGAAGAUGUCAGAAUGCGUAUCAAUGAGUAA